AUAAUUGUCAACUAGAUUUCCAGAAUGCAGGAUUUAGCCAUUUCUGAGACCUGAGAUUUCAAAAUCUACUCGGGAGAAUGCCCCCGGAAACUCCUAAUCAUAGUGUUAGAAGAUAGAAUCGCGAUGGGCUCCAAGUCAGAUUUUGCCCUGGGUGCUAGAUGUCCACAUUCCCCUGGCGAACCUUGGUGCUGUGCACUGUGCAGGCAGUGCAGUAUAUGUUGGUGAUGGCAUUUUUGAACAUCAAUUGUAGGCUGUUUUGUGGUUACACGUUAUGAAGGGUGUGUUCAGAAAAUUUCAAGGCGUGCUUUUGCUCGGCUAAACUUUGCACAAGAAUGUGCAGUGAUAAAAAAUUCUUAAAUUAGGUAUGCAAUAAUGAUCUCAACCAAUUAAGUUACACUAAGAAUAAUCAUCUGCAUAACAUAUAUAAAACUAAUGUUAUUAUACAUUUAGUAUGUAUUCUCGUUCCUGAUUGGUCAGGGAGCACCGGAUAAUUCUCAAUAUUCGGUACUUAUUACGUAAUUUCAGCUGCUGAGGUGCUCAGCGUCCAAUAAUAGUUUUUCUGGAUCGAACUUGCAUCCAAAAUAAAUAUUGGUCGCUGUCGCGCCCAAGUCCCGGCGCGGAGGGUCUCUGUAAAGAACGGAAACCGAAACGACCG